rnacentral:rRNA from 1 species
CUGGUUCAGGACGAACGCUGGCGGCGUGCCUAAUACAUGCAAGUCGAACGGUCUUUCUAUGGAAGCUUGCUUCCACUGAGAAGAUAGUGGCGAACGGGUGAGUAACACGUGGGUAACCUGCCCAUAAGAGGGGGAUAACAUCCGGAAACGGGUGCUAAUACCGCAUAGUUUUCUUGAUCGCAUGAUCGGGAAAGGAAGGACGGCCUUUGUGCUGUCGCUUAUGGAUGGACCCGCGGCGUAUUAGUUAGUUGGUGAGGUAAUGGCUCACCAAGACGAUGAUACGUAGCCGACCUGAGAGGGUGAUCGGCCACAUUGGGACUGAGACACGGCCCAAACUCCUACGGGAGGCAGCAGUAGGGAAUCUUCCGCAAUGGACGAAAGUCUGACGGAGCAACGCCGCGUGAGUGAAGAAAGGUUUUCGGAUCGUAAAACUCUGUUGUCAGAGAAGAACAAGUUGGAGAGUAACUGCUCCAGCCUUGACGGUAUCUGACCAGAAAGCCACGGCUAACUACGUGCCAGCCGCAGC